ACCUAGGAGGAACAUUCGGGUCAGUGAAAAAGGACCCAAAAUUAGAUGGAUAUUUUGAUGGAGAGAAAAAAUUAGGGACAACCACCGAUCCUCUCCCCAAAUGCUGAGGUUGAGAAGAAAAUGCCAAUGAUGCAGGGAAAAAUGUCGAAUGAGAGCCAAAACCCAACGAUGAAGUACCGAAUGUAGAGACAGGGGGACCACCAACAGAUCGAUCAAAGUGAUAGUAGCAUCGUUGAGCCAGGUCCCUGAUCCAUCCGUAAAUCUGACAUUAAGGUCGGCCACGACCAUGAAACGACCCAUGAUUUCUAAGAGCAAAUGAAUUGAUGACACUUGAGCUAGAUGGUGUACUAACAGAAACCCUUAACGUGGAACCAGAUGAGGAAGACUGUUGGACCAGAUUGGCUUGGGGAAGAACCUACGUCACAAAUCAUUGUUGCCGCCUUUCACAUUCGAGCAAAAUUUCGAUAAGCUGAUCUAAUGCCAGGGGUUCCAGUGAAAAAGAUGUUACAGUGACGACGGAGUCAAAAUCCUGCGAAAGACCCAUAAGAACGAUGUUUGUCUGUUCUUCAGCCGAGACAGGAUAACCAGACGCAUCAACUCAUGUUUGAGAAAUCUUGGCACUGGACGUUGCGCCGAAAAGACUGCAUGCUUUACUCCAGACAUCGUGAGCCGUAGUAGUUCCUGUAAAAGAGGACAAAAACUCUCCACUGAUCGUGGAUAAGAGCCAAGAAGUAAGCAAUUUUUCUUGCUGUUGAAACAAAAGAAAAAUAGAAUUAGGAAUCGACUUCCCUUCAGCAUCGUGAACAAACUUAGAUGGGGCAGAGAUCAUCUCGUGUAUAUAAUCGGUAAGCCCAUAGGCUUCGAUAAUAAGCGUUAGCUGGUGUUGCCACUGAACGAAUGUUUUGUCGGUAAGUUUAAUAGUGUCAUGUUUGGGAAAUGAUUGAACCACUCGACAGAACUGACUUUCAUCAAGGGCAGGAGAAGAGGAGGGCUGAGGAGCAGAGGUCGGUGAAGUGACCUGAUUGGUAGACACAGCUGGAGAAACAAGAUUCAUCGAAAACAACGAAAGCAGCCCAGGUAACUAAUUAGCGACUGAUACGAUGAAAGAAUACUUAUGAAAACAUGUGAAAUUAUUAUUGCUUGAUAUGAAUGAACACCAAUCUGGUGUAUUUAUACACAAAUAGAUUAGCUAGAUAUGCAAACUUUUUAACAGGAAUAGUUGACCUCUAAUAUUCAGCAGCUGUUAACGAUCACGUUAACAUUUUAAUGGUCAAAGGCAAAUAUUGUUGGUAAAAGGGCUUCCUUGAUUAA